rnacentral:rRNA from 1 species
GUUUGAUCCUGGCUCAGAACGAACGCUGGCGGCGUGGAUAAGACAUGCAAGUCGAACGGGACAUUAUUUGUAGCAAUACAAAUGAUGUUCAGUGGCGUAAGGGUGCGUAACACGUGGGCAAUCUGCCGAAAAGUGGGGGAUAGCUCGCCGAAAGGCGAAUUAAUACCGCAUGUGGCUUGUGGAGACAUCUUCACUGGGCCAAAGCCGGGGCAACCUGGCGCUUUUUGAUGAGCCCGCGGCCUAUCAGCUAGUUGGUGAGGUAACGGCUCACCAAGGCUAUGACGGGUAGCCGGUCUGAGAGGACGACCAGCCACACUGGAACUGAGACACGGUCCAGACACCUACGGGUGGCAGCAGUCGAGAAUUUUUCUCAAUGGGGGAAACCCUGAAGGAGCGACGCCGCGUGGAGGAUGAAGGUCUUCGGAUUGUAAACUCCUGUCAUUAGGGAACAAUUGUCAGCGAUUCACUGUCGCGGGCUUGAUAGUACCUGAAGAGGAAGAGACGGCUAACUCUGUGCCAGCAGCCGCGGUAAUACAGAGGUCUCAAGCGUUGUUCGGAUUCAUUGGGCGUAAAGGGUGCGUAGGCGGCGGGGCAAGUCAGGUGUGAAAUCUCGGGGCUCAACCCCGAAACUGCACUUGAUACUGCCUUGCUAGAGUACUGGAGAGGAGAUUGGAAUUUACGGUGUAGCAGUGAAAUGCGUAGAUAUCGUAAGGAAGACCAGUGGCGAAGGCGAAUCUCUGGACAGUUACUGACGCUGAGGCACGAAGGCCAGGGGAGCAAACGGGAUUAGAUACCCCGGUAGUCCUGGCAGUAAACGGUGCAUGUUUGGU